UUCUGAGUCUUUUGCAAGAUUCCACAAAGCAAUGUCACGCUGCCCCGGGGAUGGAGUCGGCGCCCCCAGAGCCUGGCCCUGGUGUCUAACCCUUCCUCCUCCUACGGAUACCCUGGAAACUACUAUUUGUCAUGGAUUCCUACUCCCCGGGGCCCUCACCCACAGGACCUUCUCUCUACACAUGCCUACGUCUUCAGAAACAGUCUCCCACGGCCAGCUUGCCAGUAACUCAAUUCUUGCUUCUCUGAGAGAUUGGUGAAGACGGCACGCCUGCUGGCCCCCCUGGUGCGGGCGGCCCCUGCUCU